rnacentral:rRNA from 1 species
AUUGAUGGGAACUUUUUUAAACCUCGCCAUUUAGAGGAAGGUGAAGUCGUAACAAGGUUUCCGUAGGUGAACCUGCGGAAGGAUCAUUACCACACCUAAAAACUUUCCACGUGAACCGUAUCAACCCAAUUAAUUGGGGGUUUCGUUGGCGGCUGUUGCUGGCAUGUUUUUGCUGGCUGGCAGCUGCUGAGUAAGCCCUAUCAUGGCGAGUGCUCUGAUCUCGGUCGGAGCUAGUAGCUUCAAUUUUAAACCCUUUCUUAAAUACUGAAUAUACUGUAGGGACGAAAGUCUCUGCUUUUAACUAGAUAGCAACUUUCAGCAGUGGAUGUCUAGGCUCGCACAUCGAUGAAGAACGCUGCGAACUGCGAUACGUAAUGCGAAUUGCAGGAUUCAGUGAGUCAUCGAAAUUUUGAACGCAUAUUGCACUUCCGGGUUAGCCCUGGGAGUAUGCCUGUAUCAGUGUCCGUACAUCAAACUUGGUUUUCUUCUUUCCGUGUAGUCGGUGGAGGAUAUGCCAGAUGUGAAGUGUCUUGCGGUUGAUUUUCGGAUCGGCUGCGAGUCCUUUGAAAUGUACAGAACUGUAUUCUCUUUGUUCGAAAAGCAUGGCGUUGCUGGUUGUGAAGGCUGUCCGUGUGGCUAGUCGGCGAUCGGUUUGUCUGCUAUGGCGAUAAUGGAGGAGUGUUCGAUUCGCGGUAUGGUUGGCUUCGGCUGAACAGACGCUUAUUGGAUAUUCUUUCUGCUGUGGCGGUAUAACUGGUGAACCGUAUUCAUAUGUGACUUGGCUUUUGAAUUGGCUUUGCUGUUGCGAAGUAGAGUGGCAGUUUCGGCUGUCGAGGGUCAACCCAUUUGGGAAAUUUGUGUUGUGCGACUUCGGUUGCGUGGCAUCUCAAUUGGACCUGAUAUCAGGCAAGAUUACCCGCUGAACUUAAG